rnacentral:rRNA from 1 species
UACGUAGGGUGCAAGCGUUGUCCGGAUUUAUUGGGCGUAAAGAGCUCGUAGGCGGUUUGUCGCGUCGGAUGUGAAACCCAGGGCUCAAUCCUGGGCCUGCAUUCGAUACGGGCAGACUAGAGUAUGGGCAGGGGAGACUGGAAGUUCCUGGUGUAGCGGUGAAAUGACGCAGAUAUCAGGAGGAACACCGGUGGCGAAGGCGGGUCUCUGGGCCAAAACUGACGACUGGAGGAGCGGAAAGCCGUGGGGGAGCGAAACAGG